rnacentral:rRNA from 1 species
GAUAAAGUACCAUAAUGGAAUGAUUGAAAGAUAAUUAAAAGUAAUAAACAGCAAAGAUUAAACCUUGUACCUUUGGCAUAAUGACUUAGCAGAAUAAAAUUAGCAAAGAGAACUAAAGCUAAUUACCCCGAAACCAGACGAGCUAUCUAAUAACAACUUUCAGAGUUAACUCAUCUAUGUGGCAAAAUAGUGAGAAGAUUAUUACAUAGAGGUGAAAAGCCUAUCGAGCCUGGUGAUAGCUGGUUGUCCAAACAAGAAUUUUAGUUCAACUUUAAAUUUACCUAUAUAGUGUAUAAUAAAUUGUAAAUUUAAAAGAUAAUUCUAAGAGGGACAGCUCUUAGAAUUAGGAGUACAAUCCUAGUCAGAGAGUAACAAAUGUAAUAGACAUAGUAGGCCUAGGAGCAGCCAUCAAUUAAGAUAGCGUUACAGCUCAACAAAUUCUUAUAAAUUGAAUACCAAAAUUUAUUUUCAACUCCUGAAAAAAAAUUGGACCAAUCUAUUCCGCACUAAAUAGAAGAAAUACUGCUAACAUGAGUAACAAGAAAUAUUUUCUCCUAGCAUAAUUUUAUAUCAGACUGAAUGAUUCACUGAUAGUUAACAGUUUUAAUGGAUAAAUAUAUAUAUUAAACAACCAUUAAUAAACAAUGUUAACCCAACACAGGUAUGCACUUAAGGAAAGAUUAAAUGAAUCAAAAGGAACUCGGUAAACACAAGCCCCGCCUGUUUACCAAAAACAUCACCUCUAGCAUUACCAGUAUUAGAGGCACUGCCUGCCCAGUGACAUAGUUUAACGGCCGCGGUAUCCUGACCGUGCAAAGGUAGCAUAAUCACUUGUUCUUUAAUUAAGGACUUGCAUGAAUGGCCACACGAGGGCUUAACUGUCUCUUGAUUCAAAUCAGUGAAAUUGACCUUCCCGUGAAGAGGCGGGAAUACUAAAAUAAGACGAGAAGACCCUAUGGAGCUUUAGUUUAAAAACUAAAAUAAUGUAUAAUAAAAAUCCAAGGAUAUAAAAAUAAUUCAAUUAGUAAUAAACUUUGGUUGGGGUGACCUCGGAGAACAAAUCAAGCUCCGAAUGAUUCUAAUCUUAGACUUACAAGUCAAAGUACAAUCACUUAUUGAUCCAGUAAAUUUUAACUGAUCAAUGGAACAAGUUACCCUAGGGAUAACAGCGCAAUCCUUUUCAAGAGUUCAUAUCGACAAUAGGGUUUACGACCUUGAUGUUGGAUCAGGACAUCCCAAUGGUGUAACAGCUAUUAAAGGUUCGUUUGUUCCACGAUUAAAGUCCUACGUGAUCUGAGUUCAGACCGGAGUAAUCCAGGUCGGUUUCUAUCUAUCUAUUAAAUGUUUCUCCUAGUACGAAAGGACCAGAGAAACAAGGCCAACUAAUAUGUUAGAGCCUUAAGGUAAGUAUAGAUGAUUUAAUCUUAUUCUAGACUGCUAUAUAUAUAAUUAGUCUCAUAAGCCCGAGAAAAGGGCUUGUUAGCGUGGCAGAGCCCGGUAAUUGCAUAAAACUUAAAACUUUAUAAC